rnacentral:lncRNA from 1 species
GUUAGGUUGUCAGGUCAUCGCUGACAGAAUCGGCGCCGUUGGAUUCGGAGGGAAGAAGGCAGGUAACAGUAGGCAACGUUUAAGCAGGGAACAUUCUAGAGCUCCUGUGUGUUCAGCGGUCCUCCUGCCUCUUCAGAUUCUCUUCUGGCCACCACUAACCCUGUGCGGUAGGCACCCUUAUCCUGCCUAUUCUACAAGCGAGGAAUGGGAGUUUGAGAAGAUACCAUCUUGCCCAAGGUCAUCCAGCACAAACAAGAAAUUCUGAAUUUGAUCAGAACAAUCCACAUGAAAGAAUAUGGAGACAAUUCUGGAAGAAAACUGUAAGAAUUGGCAGAGGACAAUGAGUUAGAGACACCUUACAGUGCAAUUAUAAUGAAAGUGUGCUCGUCCGAGAAUGUACCGGGCUCAGUCUGGCUGGGGAUGUGAAGCUGGCCAGCGGGCCCCUCCACCCUCCCUUCCACCCUCCCACCGUCAGACUCUGCCGUGGGGACACGGGGACCACCUCCUGCACCAAAGGGACCAUCCAGCUGGAAGCUCAACCAUCUCCUGAGCACGAGAGGAGAAACCGGAAACUGAUGGGAAACAUCUCCCCAAUAUUUUAAGGUUGGCAACAAAUUUAACUUUUCACAUGCAUGUAGCCAUCAACGUGCCCAGGGGGCGAGUUCAGAAUCCAGAGCUCAGAUCCCAGUAGCCAGCAAUCCCUCCCAUAAGGAUGAGGCAAACAAUUCCAUGCUUUCUCUCUCUCUCUCUUUCUUUUUUCUGCUGAGUCAAAACAGCAAAAACAACAACUACUCUUAAUUUUUCAGUAACUCAUCCUGUUCUAAAAGGCAGAGUCUGGCUAGCUGGGAACAUUCGCGGUGCCGGGGAACGCUGGUAUCAUUCAUCUCUGAAAUGGGAGUAAAACCCUUGCCUUACAGACUUUACAAGGCUGCCAGAGAGUCAAAUGAGUUAAGAGGUGCUUAACAGCCCUCAGUAUGUAAACAUACUGUACAAAUUUUGGAUAGUACCUGGCAGAAGAAAAGGACAAAGGGCAUGGGGAAAGCCGGUGAAUGCCUCCCUCUCCUGCUGUUCCCUAGAGCCACGCUUCCUUCCUUCCUAUUUAAAAUAAUCCCUGGGGACAGUGAGUACUGCCUGCUCCUGUAGUGUAGCAGGAAAAGGACAGUCCCUUUCCAUGUCAUGUAGCUUGGAAAGAAUUGCACCUACAUAGACACAGACCCCAAGCUACAUUGCCCAGAAAGCACAGAGCAGUCCCAUGGGGCAGCCUCAUGCUUGGUGGAAGAAGACAAAAUCAUGGUCAGCGCUCUCAUCCGACUCAGAAGCUGGGUUGGCCAGGUUCGUCCAUUGUCG